rnacentral:rRNA from 1 species
AACGUAGGACGCAAGCGUUAUCCGGAGUUACUGGGCGUAAAGCGCGUGUAGGCGGCUUGGCAAGUCCUGUGUGAAAGCCCUGGGCUCAACCCAGGAAGUGCGCAGGAUACUGCCGAGCUGGAGUAGCGGAGAGGAUGGCGGAAUACCCGGUGUAGAGGUGAAAUUCGUAGAUAUCGGGUGGAACACCUGUGGCGAAGGCGGCCAUCUGGACGUUCACUGACGCUGAGACGCGAAAGCGUGGGUAGCAAACAGG